GCCGGGUGUGGUGGCUCACACCUGUAAUCCUGGCAGCUCAAGAGGCUGAGGCAGGAGGAUGGCAAAUUGGAGGCCAGCCUUUGUAAUUUAGUGAGAACCUAAGCAACUCAUGGAGACCCUGUCUCAA
rnacentral:sRNA from 1 species